rnacentral:rRNA from 1 species
AGAGUUUGAUCCUGGCUCAGGACGAACGCUGGCGGCGUGCCUAACACAUGCAAGUCGAGCGGGGAUAGGGUUUCGGCCCUAUUCCAGCGGCGGACGGGUGAGUAACGCGUGAACAAUCUGUCCUAUACAGGGGGAUAACACUUGGAAACAGGUGCUAAUACCGCAUAAGCCCACAGCCCGGCAUCGGGCAGGGGGAAAAGGGGCAACUCGGUAUAGGGUGAGUUCGCGUCCCAUUAACUAGUUGGCGGGGUAAAGGCCCACCAAGGCGACGAUGGGUAGCCGACCUGAGAGGGUGAUCGGCCACACUGGAACUGAGAAACGGUCCAGACUCCUACGGGAGGCAGCAGUGGGGAAUAUUGGGCAAUGGGGGAAACCCUGACCCAGCAACGCCGCGUGAGGGAAGAAGGCUUUCGGGUCGUAAACCUCUGUCCCAUGGGAAGAGAUAGAGACGGUACCAUGGGAGGAAGCCCCGGCUAACUACGUGCCAGCAGCCGCGGUAAUACGUAGGGGGCGAGCGUUGUCCGGAAUGACUGGGCGUAAAGGGCGCGUAGGUGGCCUUACAAGUCUGGAGUGAAAGUCCCGUUUUUAAGGUGGGAAUGGCUUUGGAAACUGUAAGGCUUGAGUGUGGGAGAGGAUAGCGGAAUUCCCGGUGUAGCGGUGAAAUGCGUAGAGAUCGGGAGGAACACCAGUGGCGAAGGCGGCUAUCUGGACCAAGACUGACACUGAAGCGCGAAAGCGUGGGUAGCAAACAGGAUUAGAUACCCUGGUAGUCCACGCGGUAAACGAUGGAUGCUAGGUGUAGGAGGUAUCGACCCCUUCUGUGCCGGAGUAAACACAAUAAGCAUCCCGCCUGGGGAGUACGGCCGCAAGGUUGAAACUCAAAUGAAUUGACGG